rnacentral:rRNA from 1 species
CUGCUAGUCGUACGAGUUCAUACUCGUGGCGAAUAGCUCAGUAACACGUGGCCAAACUACCCUUCGGAGCUCGAUACCCUCGGGAAACUGAGGCUAAUAGAGCAUCCCACACUCCACCUGGAACGAGGAGUGUGCCAAACGCUCCGGCGCCGAAGGAUGUGGCUGCGGCCGAUUAGGUAGACGGUGGGGUAACGGCCCACCGUGCCAAUAAUCGGUACGGGUCAUGAGAGUGAGAACCCGGAGACGGAAUCUGAGACAAGAUUCCGGGCCCUACGGGGCGCAGCAGGCGCGAAACCUUUACACUGCACGCCAGUGCGAUAGGGGGAUCCCAAGUGCACAGGCAUAGUGCCUGUGCUUUUCGACACCCUAAGGCGGUGUCAGAAUAAGGGCUGGGCAAGACCGGUGCCAGCCGCCGCGGUAAUACCGGCAGCCCAAGUGAUGGCCGAUCUUAUUGGGCCUAAAGCGUCCGUAGCUGGCCGCGCAAGUCCAUCGGGAAAUCCGCCCGCUCAACGGGCGGACGCCCGGUGGAAACUGCGUGGCUUGGGACCGGAAGGCGCGACGGGUACGUCCGGGGUAGGAGUGAAAUCCCGUAAUCCUGGACGGACCGCCGAUGGCGAAAGCACGUCGCGAGAACGGAUCCGACAGUGAGGGACGAAAGCCAGGGUCUCGAACCGGAUUAGAUACCCGGGUAGUCCUGGCCGUAAACAAUGUCUGCUAGGUGUGGCUCCCGCUACGAGCGGGUGCUGUGCCGCAGGGAAGCCGCUAAGCAGACCGCCUGGGAAGUACGUCCGCAAGGAUGAAACUUAAAGGAAUUGGCGGGGGAGCACUACAACCGGAGGAGCCUGCGGUUUAAUUGGACUCAACGCCGGACAUCUCACCAGCAUCGACUGUAGUAAUGACGAUCAGGUUGAUGACCUUAUCCGAGCUACAGAGAGGAGGUGCAUGGCCGCCGUCAGCUCGUACCGUGAGGCGUCCUGUUAAGUCAGGCAACGAGCGAGACCCGCACCCUUACUUGCCAGCAGUAUCGCGAGAUAGCUGGGGACAGUAGGGGGACCGCCGUGGCUAACACGGAGGAAGGAACGGGCAACGGUAGGUCAGUAUGCCCCGAAUGUGCUGGGCAACACGCGGGCUACAAUGGUCAGGACAAAGGGUUCCAACUCCGAAAGGAGACGGUAAUCUCAGAAACCUGAUCGUAGUUCGGAUUGUGGGCUGCAACUCGCCCACAUGAAGCUGGAUUCGGUA